ensembl:lncRNA
CUGGUGUCCCUGAAAGGGAUCUCGCCGCUGCCCACCCGCCGCUCCGCUGCCCCGCAGGAGGCCGCCAGGGAGGGGCCGGCGACAGCGCGAGGCACCGGGAGGCGGGGGCGGCGGGGAAGUGAUGCUGGCGCCUGGGAGCCGGGCAGCGGCAGGCAAGCGGCCGCGUCUUCGGGACCCUGCUGCAGUGGCCCCGUGGCCCGCGGGCCAGCGGAGUGGCUGGAGACCACACGCCUAGCGGAUCUACUGGAGGCACUUCAAAAAUUACUCAGUCGAAGAGAGGAGGGAUUCAGUGCUUUACCCUGAGAGGACUGCAGAAUUUCCAUCAUAAGACUCGCAACAUGAAUCAAUCCCAGCGUCACACACUCUAGAUCCAGACACCUCUGAAAAAGCCCUACCUAUGACUGCAUAAGGCCUUGGUGGGACAUCGCGACACAAGCCGUAACAAUUACAGGUGGAAAAUAUAAAGAAAACUGGAGAAGCAGAAUGCAAUGUCACAACCUUUGAGUCUGUUGCUUAUUGGUGUAAUUGAAAAAUACAGAGAAUGUCUCAGUUUUAGAAGAUUAUUAUGGUAAAAGACAUUACCAUGAAUCUCCUCAAGAUACCCUCACUUCAGACAAACAUAUUUCAUCCUUCUUGACACUUCCUGAGGCAGUUCUGCAAGCUCUCUUUCCCAAGCGUCUGUAGUUGUGCUGUCAUGGCUGCCUCCAUGUCCUGAAUUGAUUCAAAACAUUCACCUUUCACCGUCAUUUUGACUUUGAGGAAGAGCCAGCAUUUGCACAGUGCCGGACCCAGCAAAUAAGGUAGAUGAUGACACACCAUAAUGCUUUUAUUUGACAGAAAUUGCAUUAAUAUUUUGAAUUGAUUCAGGAGCUGCUUCAGUGAGUGCCAGGAGCAAUGGGAUAGGUGUGUUGGAGGCAAGGGACAAUAUUUUGACAAGAAUUAAUGGCAGUUUUCCUUUUACUGUAAUAAUUGCUAAAUUUUCAUUUAAACAUUCACUAUUUUUAUCACAC